CUGGCUGAUUCUAACAGAGCAUCUGGAUUGUCAGACAGGUUCACAUAUUCCAGUUCUGGGAAUCCGAAAUACCUUCACAUCAACGGAGUGAAGGCAGAAGAUGAGGCAGUGUACUACUGUGCCUGUGUUGGCUGUAGCUCAGACACUGGCUUUGGUGGGGGCACGAUGCUGAAUGUCGGUCGCUCCCCGUCUCCCCCAUCGCUGAGCCUCAUGCCGCCGUCCCAGACUGAACUGUCUCAGGGAAAGGCCACUUUGGUGUGCAUGGCGCAGGGCUUCUUCCCAGACACGGCCGCCGUGUCGUGGACCGAAGGCGGCAGCAGUCGGACGGGCAGCGAGGUGCAAACCGCCGUGCCGGAGCGGCGAUCCGAUGGCACAUACUCGCUCAUCAGCCUACUGACCGUGACGGCGGCGCAGUGGAGCUCCGGGGUCUCCUACUCCUGCCAGAUCAGACACUCCGCCCUGACCUCGCCGCUCAGCCGCAGUGUGAGCCAGGCGGAGUGCCAGUAACUGCAGCUCACCACCAGGCGAAGGCAGCACAUCAAAAUAAGCGAUAUUUGAUGUUACGGCGCUUCCCAGUAUUGUACUCGGCUUAAAGAAGCAUGUGUGUGCUGAUCGGUAAAUGUGUUUGUAAAAUGUUACAGUCCGAGAUGAUCGGAAAUAAAACGUUUUCAAGUUAUUGCAAAUGCUUAGAUAAAUAAAGCUCAAUAAAGACAAAAUACAAAUGC